GGCUUCUUAGUUUAAUCGAAAAUAAUGAAUUUGUAAUUCGUAGAUACAUGAGGUAGGGGCAAAAGUUA
rnacentral:tRNA from 1 species